rnacentral:tRNA from 1 species
GUCAGGAUGGCCGAGUGGUCUAAGGCGCCAGACUCAAGUUCUGGUCUUCGAGAGAGGGCGUGGGUUCAAAUCCCACUUCUGAUA